UGGAGAGUUUGAUCCUGGCUCAGGACGAACGCUGGCGGCGUGCUUAACACAUGCAAGUCGAACGGAAAGGCCCUUUCGGGGGUGCUCGAGUGGCGAACGGGUGAGUAACACGUGGGUGAUCUGCCCUGCACUUUGGGAUAAGCCUGGGAAACUGGGUCUAAUACCGAAUANGACCAUGNUAUNCAUGUGGUGUGGUGGAAAGCUUUUGCGGUGUGGGAUGGGCCCGCGGCCUAUCAGCUUGUUGGUGGGGUAAUGGCCUACCAAGGCGACGACGGGUAGCCGGCCUGAGAGGGUGUCCGGCCACACUGGGACUGAGAUACGGCCCAGACUCCUACGGGAGGCAGCAGUGGGGAAUAUUGCACAAUGGGCGCAAGCCUGAUGCAGCGACGCCGCGUGGGGGAUGACGGCCUUCGGGUUGUAAACCCCUUUCAGUACCGACGAAGCGGAAGUGACGGUAGGUACAGAAGAAGCACCGGCCAACUACGUGCCAGCAGCCGCGGUA
rnacentral:rRNA from 1 species